rnacentral:rRNA from 1 species
GUUUUAGGCACUGAUAAAUGUCCAACGAACUACUGGCAAUACUUCGUAUGGUGUCACAACUUUCUCCCUGGGAAGAAAACUUUCUACACGGUCGGCUUAGCGGCCACUUGUUGGGCCAUAUGGUUGGCGCGCAAUCGAGCUACUUUUGAAAAGAAACAAAUCAAGACUCCUUUUGAGAUUGUGUUCUCUCUGUGCUCUUUUUUGCUCUACUGGACAGGUCUACAGCAAGGGGACGACGCCAGGGAGCUGCGCACAGGAGCUGAGAUGAUCAGGGCUAGCACGAUGCAGCUGAUGAAGAUGUGUGGUGCUGUCAAGCAACCGAUCCAAGGUGCCUGA